rnacentral:rRNA from 1 species
AUUGAACGCUGGCGGCGGGCCUAACACAUGCAAGUCGAACGGUAGCACAGAGAGCUUGCUCUUGGGUGACGAGUGGCGGACGGGUGAGUAAUGUCUGGGAAACUGCCCGAUGGAGGGGGAUAACUACCGGAAACGGUAGCUAAUACCGCAUAACGUCUUCGGACCAAAGUGGGGGACCUUCGGGCCUCACACCAUCGGAUGUGCCCAGAUGGGAUUAGCUAGUAGGUGGGGUAAAGGCUCACCUAGGCGACGAUCCCUAGCUGGUCUGAGAGGAUGGCCCGCCACACUGGAACUGAGACACGGUCCAGACUCCUACGGGAGGCAGCAGUGGGGAAUAUUGCACAAUGGGCGCAAGCCUGAUGCAGCCAUGCCGCGUGUAUGAAGAAGGCCUUCGGGUUGUAAAGUACUUUCAGCGGGGAGGAAGGCGUUAAGGUUAAUAACCUUGGCGAUUGACGUUACCCGCAGAAGAAGCACCGGCUAGCUCCGUGCCAGCAGCCGCCGUAA